GAGAGCGGCGGCGGGGGGGGGGAAGCCCUCGUGCUGCGCCUCGUCUCGUGCGGCCUCCGGGCUGCUGCUCAGCUGUGUCGUUGCUAGCAAGAUGUGCACGGAAAUCUCUCUUCUUUAAAGAGAAUAUAAAAAUGAAAUGAAAAACCCGUUGUUGAUCGGCAAGAACUGCGAGACAUCACUUCAAUUUUAGCAGACAGCCGGGGAUCCUUGGUGUAAAAUAAGUAACAUUUUGAGAACGCGGUUUGGAGGCGACGGAUUUAUCCUUGCGUACUGACUUUGAACAGCUUGAAAGGGCAGAGAAGAGCCGGUAGAGCUGGCCAGCGGGGGGAGCGGUAACCCCGGAAGAGCCCUGAAGAGGCGGCGGCGCCUGCCCCUGCCCCGCCGCGGCCGGAGGAGGGCUGAGAAGAGCUGGCCCCCUUUCAUUUCUGCAGCGGUUCCCUUCUGACCGCUGUGCCCCGAGCGCGUACGAGCUGGUCGCCCAGGAUGUUGAAUCCCUUGCCGAAAAGGCAUUAGUGGCAGACGUUGCUUGACUUGGCUCUCUGCAAGUCAGGUCUCGGAGAUUGGCCUGGCCACCUGAGGCUGCAGCCCCAAAUCCCACGAAGCUGGUCCCCUUUGGGGCUCUAUGCACGUUGUCCCCGGAAGCUCAAGCAGACGAGAUGACAGACGAGUAGGAGUGAACUGACUGGGAGGGAAGAAAACCAGGCCCGCACAACAGGAGGCAAAGGUAUCCUUUUCUAUUUUCAUUGAACUACCUGUCUCCUUACACUUAUGAAGAAUGGAUUUUCAAAUAUGCCCAGAGAAACACGAGGAAUAAUAAGCCUAAGGCUAAAACUGGCUUUUGUUCUUGAAGUUUUCCAGACCGUUCGGCUUGUCCGUUGCCUGCUGAAGACGAACAGCACUUCUGCACAAUUAAGGGAGGCUUACGGUACCUUGAUCUUUCACAGCGACGCACGCCUGCCUCUUAGGCAUCACCAUAAUAGCGUGACAGAGUUUCCCUGCGUGCACCACAACAGGUCCAGAUCUAAAUGGGAAGUGUCCAGGCCUUGUCAGGACUGGCUGGCAGCUCGAGUGGGCACGUAAGGUGCUGCUGGCUCCUUCCUAGGAACAGGAUGGCGCGGUGUCUGGUGAGGGGUGUAAUACAGCAGCAGCCAAGUCUCAGACCAUCACAAUUUGAACUAAGGCAAGUGGACGCAUACUUCAGCUAGAGCAAGGGAUGUGCUCACAUGUACGUGCUCUUUCAUUCCCUGUCCCCCACCCCUCCAACCAGGCCUAGGAUGGGGGGUGGAGGGGGGGUGGCGAUGGCGGCACUGUGGAAUCUGGUGGGGCAGAUAAUUAGUGCUGUGUAUUUGGGGAGGGCAGAAGAAUGGGGGUAACCAGAGUGCCAGGCGGGGUGCCGCAAAGGGAGAUGCAGCAAACCUGAGGGGGGUGGGCAGGCAUCAUCAGAGGGAAAAAAACCCCAAAAAACAGCUGGCUUGAGUGGCAUCUUCCUUCCUUCCUUCCUUAUGGAAAGACCUCCACCCAAAGCCCCCAAACCCUACAAGUGCUGCUGCUUUGUGUAGUGCAGUGUUCAGACGGAUCUAAAACACAGUUACGGUCCACCCCCGUUACUCAGCAUGGUUUAAUAUUCUUAAUAAGCAUCAAGUGGUUUCGGAGCAAAGUUCUUCAUAAACCAUUCUUUCUGAAUACAGUUUGGCAUCACCUUGGUGGCUGCCUAGCAAUGCUAACAGACCAGAAAACGGCUGAAGGCAACGCUGUCCUCCCCCCAGCUCGGUUCACGGCACCGCUGAGUCCAGCUGCAGAAACAAACUGAUCCGGGCAGGGGGCAAAGGCAGGAGAUGGCCGUUUCCUUGCUAGGGGCAGAUGUGCUGAGGCAAGAAGCAGAUGUGCGGGUCUGGGAGUGGGCGAUGUUGCUGUUGUUUAGUUUUGGUUUUCUUUUUUGUUUAAUUGUGGCUCUUUGGUAGCGGCAAAGGUUAAGAAGAAAACAAAAAUUAAAAGCCUGCAAAGAAUCAUGUCCAGCCAAGAGCAGAAGCUGCCAUUUGCCUGGUGAAACCAAACGGCUCCUUCUCGUGGUAGGAAAGUCCAUCAUCGAGAAUUCAAACGUGGAGCAACCUGAGGUGAGGGGGGCACAAACGAGAGGACUCUGGUUAAUAGUUAAGUGCAGUGGGAGCAAAAGUUACUCCCGUCUUGAUCCAGUCAUUCAAGAGGCCUGCGAGCCUUGCACAUAAGGCAGGAUGUCACGUAUUCAGCUUCAGCGCUGUCGGUGGAGGCUGGAGGACCCUCCUCAGACCAAGCUGAUGCCCCCUUCCCAUCAGAAACAGAGCUUCUGGGACCAGCUGCUGCACAACUGGAAGAGGCCUAGAGGAGCACGCUGCAGGUUUUGCCGCAGCAGGAGCACAACACGCACCUGGUGAUUGAGGUGGUGUCGCAGACCUCUGACACCGAAGCCAAGUGAGAGAACCCAUGGCAUCUGACACUUGGCGGGCCUUGCCGGGUACUGUCAUGGUAGACGAAGGCCCAGUUGUCCAGUGUAAGGAGCUGGAAGAGGGCGAAGACGCUGUCCAGCAAGUUCCCGAAGCACACGGGCUCUGUGUGCAUAAACAGGUCAUGCAGCAGCACUGAGAGGAUGACCAGGGGCUAGGUUAAAGCAACCACGCAGGCUUGGUUCCCCUGCCCUGAGCAGCCCCGGACCCUCUCCAAGGCUGCGUGGAUACAGAGGCAGGUGAACGUGAGCAACAGGAUGGUGCUGCUGGAGUGACCCACGAGCACAAAGGUGCCGGUCAGCUCCUGCAGGCUUUCCAGUGCCCUGCACAGACGGGGGCACAGAUGCAAAGACCCCUGGGACCACUCCCACCUGGGACCCCAGAGGCUGUGGGGUCAGCAUUGGAAGGGUAGCAGACAGGGUCUUUGGUCAGCUGGGAGGUCGAGGGUUAGUGUG